rnacentral:rRNA from 1 species
UACGUAGGGGGCGAGCGUUGUCCGGAAUCACUGGGCGUAAAGGGCGCGUAGGCGGUUUAAUAAGUCAGUGGUGAAAACUGAGGGCUCAACCCUCAGCCUGCCACUGAUACUGUUAGACUUGAGUAUGGAAGAGGAGAAUGGAAUUCCUAGUGUAGCGGUGAAAUGCGUAGAUAUUAGGAGGAACACCAGUGGCGAAGGCGAUUCUCUGGGCCAAGACUGACGCUGAGGCGCGAAAGCGUGGGGAGCAAACA